rnacentral:rRNA from 1 species
GUGGGGAAUCUUAGACAAUGGGGGAAACCCUGAUCUAGCCAUGCCGCGUGAGCGAUGAAGGCCUUAGGGUUGUAAAGCUCUUUCAGCUGGGAAGAUAAUGACGGUACCAGCAGAAGAAGCCCCGGCUAACUCCGUGCCAGCAGCCGCGGUAAUACGGAGGGGGCUAGCGUUGUUCGGAAUUACUGGGCGUAAAGCGCACGUAGGCGGAUCAGAAAGUCAGAGGUGAAAUCCCAGGGCUCAACCUUGGAACUGCCUUUGAAACUCCUGGUCUUGAGGUCGAGAGAGGUGAGUGAAAUUCCGAGUGUAGAGGUGAAAUUCGUAGAUAUUCGGAGGAACACCAGUGGCGAAGGCGGCUCACUGGCUCGAUACUGACGCUGAGGCGCGAAAGCGUGGGGAGCAAACAGGAUUAGAUACCCUAGUAGUCC